CGGACGGGUGAGUAACGCGUGAGAAUCAGCCUUCAGUUCGGGGACAACCACUGGAAACCGUGGCUAAUACCGGAUGUGCCGAGAGGUGAAAGGCUUGCUGCCUGAAGAAGAGCUUGCGUCUGAUUAGCUAGUUGGUGGGGUAAGAGCUUACCAAGGCGACGAUCAGUAGCUGGUCUGAGAGGAUGAUCAGUCACACUGGGACUGAGACACGGUCCAGACUUCUACGGGAGGCAGCAGUGGGGAAUUUUCCGCAAUGAGCGAAAGCCUGACGGAGCAAUACCGCGUGAGGGAGGAAGGCUCUUGGGUUGUAAACCUCUUUUCUCAGGGAAGAAGAAAAUGACGGUACCUGAGGAAUAAGCAUCGGCUAACUCCGUGCCAGCAGCCGCGGUAAUACGGAGGAUGCAAGCGUUAUCCGGAAUGAUUGGGCGUAAAGGGUCCGCAGGUGGUAGUGAAAGUCUGCUGUUAAAGAGUCACGCUCAACGUGAUAAGAGCAGUGGAAACUACACAACUAGAGUACGGUAAGAGCAGAAGGAAUUCCUGGUGUAGCGGUGAAAUGCGUAGAUAUCAGGAAGAACACCGGUGGCGAAAGCGUUCUGCUAGACCUGUACUGACACUGAGGGACGAAAGCUAGGGGAGCGAAAGGGUUUAGAUACCCCAGUAGUC
rnacentral:rRNA from 1 species